rnacentral:tRNA from 1 species
GGGUGAUUAGCUCAGCUGGGAGAGCACCUCCCUUACAAGGAGGGGGUCGGCGAUCCCGUCAUCACCCACCA